GCGCGUGCUAUACUGCAGUCGAGCGAUGAUUAGAGCUUGCUCUUAUGAGUUAGCGGCGGACGGGUGAGUAACACGUGGGUAACCUGCCCAUAAGACUGGGAUAACUCCGGGAACCGGGGCUAAUACCGGAUAACAUUUUGAACCGCAUGGUUCGAAAUUGAAAGGCGGCUUCGGCUGUCACUUAUGGAUGGACCCGCGUCGCAUUAGCUAGUUGGUGAGGUAACGGCUCACCAAGGCAACGAUGCGUAGCCGACCUGAGAGGGUGAUCGGCCACACUGGGACUGAGACACGGCCCAGACUCCUACGGGAGGCAGCAGUAGGGAAUCUUCCGCAAUGGACGAAAGUCUGACGGAGCAACGCCGCGUGAGUGAUGAAGGCUUUCGGGUCGUAAAACUCUGUUGUUAGGGAAGAACAAGUGCUAGUUGAAUAAGCUGGCACCUUGACGGUACCUAACCAGAAAGCCACGGCUAACUACGUGCCAGCAGCCGCGGUAAUACGUAGGUGGCAAGCGUUAUCCGGAAUUAUUGGGCGUAAAGCGCGCGCACGUGGUUUCUUAAGUCUGAUGUGAAAGCCCACGGCUCAACCGUGGAGGGUCAUUGCAAACUGUGAGACUUUAUUGCAGAACAAGAGAGUGGAGUUCC
rnacentral:rRNA from 1 species